rnacentral:rRNA from 1 species
UACGUAGGGACCAAGCGUUGUUCGGAUUUACUGGGCGUAAAGGGCGCGUAGGCGGCUUGUCAAGUCACUUGUGAAAUCUCUGGGCUUAACCCAGAACGGCCAAGUGAAACUGACAUGCUAGAGUGCAGAAGGGGCAAUCGGAAUUCCAGGUGUAGCGGUGAAAUGCGUAGAUAUCUGGAGGAACACCGGUGGCGAAGGCGGCAUCCUGGACCAACACUGACGCUGAGGAGCGAAAGCCAGGGGAGCAAACGGG